CCUCGGUUGACGGAGCAGCGCUAGCUGCAACCGCCGCGGGGGCAGAUGGCGUAACUGCCGACUCACUGCUUGUGGGUCGGACAGCCGCCGGAGGCCGUUCUGACGCUGCCCCCUGACGCGCCACAUCGGCUAAGGUUUGGCGGCCUCGACAGCUCUGUGAACUGUGACCGAAACGCUGGCAUUUGAAGCAACGCAGGGGAUUUGGAACGUAUGGGCGAACACGGAGCUUGAUAUAGCCGGCCUCGGUGGACUCGGGCAGUACACAUGUGCCAAAUUUUUGGAACACAACCGAGCCAAUAUGGACCUUUACUACAGCGGACACUGCAAAUUCUGGCCUUUCUUGUCUAGUAGACGUCAGGGAAAGUGUCACUGGAAGUUGCACAUAUUUCCGAAGAUCUCACUACACCUCAAGCACAAAAGAGAGGAAGACUGUCCAGCUCAAGGGGUAUAAUUCUCCAGGAAACGGCUUCGACCAACCAGCCAUGCUACUUUAUUAUACAACAAAUGCCACGCCGUAUGCCGUGGAGCAAUUACUGUACGAAAGUUACGACAGCAGCUGUGGUGUCAUUAAGUUCUCUAUGCAUCGGACCGCCCUCAGACUUGACCUACGAGUGAAGAAUUCUUCGAUACAGAAGGGACCCGACCCUACCUGUUUGCGCUAUUUUCUAAAAUCGUAUGACUACUACCAAGGAAAGCGUCAGUACAGACUUCUGAAGAAUAUGACAAUCUACAAUUCUUCAUGUCAAGCAAUAAUUCAAUUCACUCAAAGUGGCUGUUAAUCGACAUGGGCACUACACUUCAGAAUGUACUAAGGAAACAGGAGGCUGGGACCACAUUCUUCAGGAUUGUUUUGAAUUACCGUUCUUUUCUUCCCCUUCGUCUCUGGGUUGCACGAUUCCACUUCCUUUGCGCGGUAUUUCGUAGGCCAAUAAAUCAAUUCCUUAUGUUCAGUUUCCUUGAAACUUGUGCCUCAAUUCCAGGGACUUCUGCAAGUUUCACCGUUGGCUAUACA